UACGAAGGGUGCGAGCGUUAAUCGGAAUUACUGGGCGUAAAGAGCACGUAGGCGGUCUGAUAAGCGGAAUGUGAAAUCCCCGGGCUUAACCUGGGAACUGCAUUCCGAACUGUCAGGCUAGAGUAUGGUAGAGGUGAGCGGAAUUUCCUGUGUAGCGGUGAAAUGCGUAGAUAUAGGAAGGAACAUCAGUUGCGAAGGCGGCUCACUGGAUCAAUACUGACGCUGAGGUGCGAAAGCGUGGGUAGCGAACAGG
rnacentral:rRNA from 1 species